GACGAACGCUGGCGGCGUGCUUAACACAUGCCAGUCGAACGGAAAGGCCCUGCUUUUGUGGGGUGCUCGAGUGGCGAACGGGUGAGUAACACGUGAGUAACCUGCCCUUGACUUUGGGAUAACUUCAGGAAACUGGGGCUAAUACCGGAUAGGAGCUCCUGCUGCAUGGGGGGGGUUGGAAAGUUUCGGCGGUUGGGGAUGGACUCGCGGCUUAUCAGCUUGUUGGUGGGGUAGUGGCUUACCAAGGCUUUGACGGGUAGCCGGCCUGAGAGGGUGACCGGCCACAUUGGGACUGAGAUACGGCCCAGACUCCUACGGGAGGAAGCAGUGGGGAAUAUUGCACAAUGGGCGGAAGCCUGAUGCAGCAACGCCGCGUGCGGGAUGACGGCCUUCGGGUUGUAAACCGCUUUCGCCUGUGACGAAGCGUGAGUGACGGUAAUGGGUAAAGAAGCACCGGCUAAUUACGU
rnacentral:rRNA from 1 species